UAGGGAAUCUUCCGCAAUGGACGAAAGUCUGACGGAGCGACGCCGCGUGAGUGAUGAAGGUCUUCGGAUCGUAAAGCUCUGUUGUUAGGGAAGAACAAGUACCGUUCUAAUCGUUCGGUACCUUGACGGUACCUAACCAGAAAGCCCCGGCUAACUACGUGCCAGCAGCCGCGGUAAUACGUAGGGGGCAAGCGUUGUCCGGAAUUAUUGGGCGUAAAGCGCACGCAGGCGGUCCUUUAAGUCUGAUGUGAAAGUUCACGGCUUAACCGUGAAAGGUCAUUGGAAACUGGAGGGCUUGAGUACAGAAGAGGAGAGUGGAAUUCCAUGUGUAGUGGUGAAAUACGUAGAGAUAUGGAGGAACACCAGUGGCGAAGGCGGCUCUCUGGUCUGUUACUGACGC
rnacentral:rRNA from 1 species